rnacentral:rRNA from 1 species
UACGUAGGGGGCAAGCGUUGUCCGGAUUCAUUGGGCGUAAAGCGCGCGUAGGCGGCCACGCAAGUCGGGUGUGAAAUCCCGGAGCUCAACUCCGGAACUGCACUCGAAACUGCGCGGCUUGAGGUAGGUAGGGGAGAUCGGAAUUCCUGGUGUAGCGGUGGAAUGCGCAGAUAUCAGGAGGAACACCGGUGGCGAAGGCGGAUCUCUGGGCCGUAACUGACGCUGAGGAGCGAAAGCAUGGGGAGCGAACAGG